UCCGGAUGUUGGAGACCUUACCGUAAAUUUUACCGGAGAUGUUGGAUGGUGCGUCUGUGUUGAAGAUUGGCUAACCAUGGAUCCAGCAACUAUGGAUCCAUAUAAUGCUGAUGCAGACGGGUUUUACGUGGGCGAUGAUUAUGGAUAUUUCCACUGGAAUGAAGAACAUGGCCAUUGGGAGAGGUGGACC